rnacentral:rRNA from 1 species
UACGGAGGGUGCAAGCGUUAUCCGGAUUCACUGGGUUUAAAGGGUGCGUAGGUGGGUCUGUAAGUCCGUGGUGAAAUCUCCGAGCUUAACUUGGAAACUGCCAUGGAUACUAUAGUCUUGAAUACUGUGGAGGUCAGCGGAAUAUGUCAUGUAGCGGUGAAAUGCUUAGAUAUGACAUAGAACACCAAUUGCGAAGGCAGCUGGCUACACAAAUAUUGACACUGAGGCACGAAAGCGUGGGGAUCAAACAGG